rnacentral:rRNA from 1 species
UAAGUGUGUUGUGAAAUGUAGACGCUCAACGUCUGACUUGCAGCGCAUACUGGUUUCCUUGAGUACGCACAACGUUGGCGGAAUUCGUCGUGUAGCGGUGAAAUGCUUAGAUAUGACGAAGAACUCCGAUUGCGAAGGCAGCUGACGGGAGCGCAACUGACGCUUAAGCUCGAAGGUGCGGGUAUCAAACAGGAUUAGAUACCCUGGUAGUCCGCACAGUAAACGAUGGAUGCCCGCUGUUGGUACCUGGUAUCAGCGGCUAAGCGAAAGCAUUAAGCAUCCCACCUGGGGAGUACGCCGGCAACGGUGAAACUCAAAGGAAUUGACGGGGGCCCGCACAAGCGGAGGAACAUGUGGUUUAAUUCGAUGAUACGCGAGGAACCUUACCCGGGCUUGAAUUGCAGAGGAAGGAUUUAGAGAUAAUGACGCCCUUCGGGGUCUCUGUGAAGGUGCUGCAUGGUUGUCGUCAGCUCGUGCCGCGAGGUGUCGGCUUAAGUGCCAUAACGAGCGCAACCCCUCUCUUCAGUUGCCAUCAGGUAAUGCUGGGCACUCUGGAGACACUGCCACCGUAAGGUGUGAGGAAGGUGGGGAUGACGUCAAAUCAGCACGGCCCUUACGUCCGGGGCUACACACGUGUUACAAUGGCCGGUACAGAGGGAUGGUGUAAUGCAAAUUGCAUCAAAUCUUGAAAGCCGGUCCCAGUUCGGACUGGGGUCUGCAACCCGACCCCACGAAGCUGGAUUCGCUAGUAAUCGCGCAUCAGCCAUGGCGCGGUGAAUACGUUCCCGGGCCUUGUACACACCGCCCGUCAAGCCAUGAAAGCCGGGGGUGCCUGAAGUCCGUGACCGCAAGGAUCGGCCUAGGGCAAAACUGGUGAUUGGGGCUAAGUCGUAACAAGGUAACC